UUUGGCUUUUGUCUGCAGGUCUCGAAAAUUCCAAGGAUGCACGUAAUGGAGGGGCUCAAACUGAUUUAAUUGUUGGAACAACUGCACAACCAAAACUUGAUGUUGGUUUUUCCGGGAAAAGCACUGUUGUUGUUUCUACUGGCUGUUCAUCUAAAAGGUUCUUGUCUUCCUUCUUUAGAGGAUGGGUCAUGGGCGUUAUAUCUCAGUUAGAGGAUGGCCAUUUCUACUUGGAAGACGUCACUGGAGCAGUUGAAAUCAAUUUGUCUAAUGCAAUAUCCUCUACAUGUUUAUAUUUUUCCCUUUCGAAAGACUUAUUGUUUGUUUUGAAUGCUUGGAUUUGGGCUGCCCUAUAAUCUCCAAAAGCGAAAGUUCUCAUUGUAGGCCUUUUUAAAUAAUGGAAAAUAAUGGUGAAUUUUAGAUUUUA